rnacentral:rRNA from 1 species
AUGGUUUUGGUAUCCGACCCCGUCGGCUCUCGUCACGUCUAUGAUUUGUAUGUGGAGGUAUGUGAACCGGAAAUUCCAACCGACCCUCUUGUCGAGAGGUUAAAUUUGGUUGAAAAAGAAAACAAUUAUUUGAAAGAAAAAUUGAAGAGAAUUGAAGAGGAGAAGAUGAAAUUGGAGUUGCAUGUUGCUGACGUCGUCGAUGAUCAAAAGAUCCGGAUGGAUGCAAUGUUCUUGAAGAUUAGAAAUAUUAAAAAAAAUAUGCCAUUGAUAAUGAGGCUUGGUAUCAUUAUGUUGUUGGAUCAAUUGUUAUCUUAG